rnacentral:sRNA from 1 species
GCCAGGUGUGGUGGCACGUGCCUAUAAUCCCAACAACUCGGAGGCUGAGGCAGGAAGAUUGUAUGUUCAAAGACAGCUUCAGCAAUUAGUAAGACCCUGUCUCAA